rnacentral:sRNA from 1 species
GCCGGGUGUGGUGGUGCACACCUGUCAUCCCAGCUACUCGGGAGGCUGAGGCAGGAGAAUUGCUUGAACCCAGGAGGCGGAGGUUGCAGUGAGCCGGGAUCGCACCACUGCAUUCCAGCCUGGGUAACAGAGUGAGACUCUGUCUCAA